rnacentral:rRNA from 1 species
AGAAUCAACGCUGGCGGCGUGCCUAACACAUGCAAGUCGAACGAGAAAGUGGAGCAAUCCAUUAGUAAAGUGGCGCACGGGUGAGUAACACGUGACUAACCUACCCUUGAGUGGGGGAUAACUUCGGGAAACCGAGGCUAAUACCGCAUAAUACCUACGGGUCAAAGGAGCAAUUCGCUUUAGGAGGGGGUCGCGGUCGAUUAGUUAGUUGGCGGGGUAAUGGCCCACCAAGACUGUGAUCGAUAUCCGGCCUGAGAGGGCGCACGGACACACUGGAACUGAAACACGGUCCAGACUCCUACGGGAGGCAGCAGUGGGGAAUCUUGCGCAAUGGGGGAAACCCUGACGCAGCAACGCCGCGUGGAGGAUGAAGUCCCUUGGACGUAAACUCCUUUCGAUCGGGACGAUAAUGACUGUACCGGAAGAAGAAGCCCCGCUAACUUCGCGCCAGCAGCCGC